rnacentral:rRNA from 1 species
GAUGAACGCUGGCGGCGUGCCUAAUACAUGCAAGUCGAGCGAACAGAUGAGGAGCUUGCUCCUCUGACGUUAGCGGCGGACGGGUGAGUAGCACGUGGAUAACCUACCUAUAAGACUGGGAUAACUUCGGGAAACCGGAGCUAAUACCGGAUAAUAUAUUGAACCGCAUGGUUCAAUAGUGAAAGACGGUUUUGCUGUCACUUAUAGAUGGAUCCGCGCCGCAUUAGCUAGUUGGUAAGGUAACGGCUUACCAAGGCAACGAUGCGUAGCCGACCUGAGAGGGUGAUCGGCCACACUGGAACUGAGACACGGUCCAGACUCCUACGGGAGGCAACAGUAGGGAAUCUUCCGCAAUGGGCGAAAGCCUGACGGAGCAACGCCGCGUGAGUGAUGAAGGUCUUCGGAUCGUAAAACUCUGUUAUUAGGGAAGAACAAAUGUGUAAGUAACUAUGCACGUCUUGACGGUACCUAAUCAGAAAGCCACGGCUAACUACGUG